AGAGUUUGAUCAUGGCUCAGAGCGAACGCUGGCGGCAGGCUUAACACAUGCAAGUCGAGCGGGCGUAGCAAUACGUCAGCGGCAGACGGGUGAGUAACGCGUGGGAACGUACCUUUUGGUUCGGAACAACCCAGGGAAACUUGGGCUAAUACCGGAUAAGCCCUUACGGGGAAAGAUUUAUCGCCGAAGGAUCGGCCCGCGUCUGAUUAGCUAGUUGGUGGGGUAACGGCCCACCAAGGCGACGAUCAGUAGCUGGUCUGAGAGGAUGAUCAGCCUCACUGGGACUGAGACACGGCCCAGACUCCUACGGGAGGCAGCAGUGGGGAAUAUUGGACAAUGGGCGCAAGCCUGAUCCAGCCAUGCCGCGUGGGUGAUGAAGGCCCUAGGGUUGUAAAGCCCUUUCGGCGGGGAAGAUAAUGACGGUACCCGCAGAAGAAGCCCCGGCUAACUUCGUGCCAGCAGCCGCGGUAAUACGAAGGGGGCUAGCGUUGCUCGGAAUCACUGGGCGUAAAGCGCACGUAGGCGGCUUCUUAAGUCAGGGGUGAAAUCCUGGAGCUCAACUCCAGAACUGCCCUUGAUACUGAGGAGCUUGAGUCCGGGAGAGGUGAGUGGAACUGCGAGUGUAGAGGUGAAAUUCGUAGAUAUUCGCAAGAACACCAGUGGCGAAGGCGGCUCACUGGCCCGGUACUGACGCUGAGGUGCGAAAGCGUGGGGAGCAAACAGGAUUAGAUACCCUAGUAGUCC
rnacentral:rRNA from 1 species